rnacentral:rRNA from 1 species
GGGGGGCGAGUGGGAAUCUUCCACAAUGGACGCAAGUCUGAUGGAGCAACGCCGCGUGAGUGAAGAAGGUUUUCGGAUCGUAAAGCUCUGUUGUUGGUGAAGAAGGACAUGGAUAGUAACUGAUCUAUGUUUGACGGUAAUCAACCAGAAAGUCACGGCUAACUACGUGCCAGCAGCCGCGGUAAUACGUAGGUGGCAAGCGUUGUCCGGAUUUAUUGGGCGUAAAGCGAACGCAGGCGGGAGAACAAGUCAGCUGUGAAAGCCCUCGGCUUAACCGAGGAACGGCAACUGAAACUGUUUUUCUUGAGUGCAGAAGAGGAGAGUGGAACUCCAUGUGUAGCGGUGAAAUGCGUAGAUAUAUGGAAGAACACCAGUGGCGAAGGCGGCUCUCUGGUCUGUAACUGACGCUGAGGUUCGAAAGCAUGGGUAGCGAACAGGAUUAGAUACCCUGGUAGUCCAUGCCGUAAACGAUGAGUGCUAAGUGUUGGGAGGUUUCCGCCUCUCAGUGCUGCAGCUAACGCAUUAAGCACUCCGCCUGG